CGCGGGGUGGAGCAGUGGUAGCUUGUCGGGCUCAUAACCCGAAGGUCGCAGGUUCGAAUCCUGCCCCCGCACCCA
rnacentral:tRNA from 1 species